AAUUCCCUGCUCAGUACGUGAUGCAUUCUUUUAGACCCACAUUUUUUCUUUGGGAUGCCUGAUCUUCUGAAACGGAUUGUAGACCUCCCGCUGCGGCGGUCCCGCAGUGGACGUUGGGAACAGCGAACUUUCAGAGGGGCAACCCACCUGCUUGAUUCGUGCAGGUUAUAAAUGGGUGCACACGGCUUCAGCGGGGAUUUU
rnacentral:other from 1 species